rnacentral:sRNA from 1 species
UUGAAGAAUAAAAUCUUAUAUUUAUUCACUGACUAGGUACAGCACAGGCAGGGGUAGUUCUAGCUUUUCUCACAUUGCCCCAGAAAUGUGCCACAACGCUGAUAUGGAAGGGCCAUCUCUGGGAGUCAGUGUCCAUUCAGUUAUUCAAUUCUACCCACCA